rnacentral:lncRNA from 1 species
GCCUGACGACCUUCCUCCGCCUAGACUGCUUCCUUCUUGGCAUUGUUCAUCGCCUCGAUGUUGGUGAUGAGCUAGUGUCCAACCUCCAAGAGCGGCCAGGAAGUCAAUAUGAAAGCUAAGGAAUGCACUAAGUGAAGAAACGAAAGGAAGAAAAAAGUAAAUCAGCCUACCUCAAGAAAGGAUCCCAGAGAGUCCCAAAUCCGUUGUUCA